UCUCAGGCCCUAGGCCAGGCCUCGUUCCCAUCAGAUAAAGCCUGGGGCGGCCGGACGCAGUGCAAGCAAUCGUGCCUGACUCACAGGAAGGGAGGAAAACAGGAAUUCACGCAGAAGCUAGUCCUCCGGAGGCUGAGAGCAAACGGCUGCACUAGGAACCCAGCAGUCAGACCGGCCCCCACCCUGGAGUGAACACAUCGCCACUGCCAGGCAUCACAGGGAUCGUGGCUGAGCAAAUGCAGCCGAUGAAAUGGAAGAGCAAGGGGUGAAGAAAUGAGUGAGGUGCCCACGCAGCCCUCAUAAUGCCGGGGCCAUCGGAGAGAAGACCGGGAUGAGUUUUUAGGUGGCUGCUUCCUUUGGCCCGGAAGCGCGGCCCACCCUGCCUGACUUCCAGCACUCCGUUCCUCGGCUUCUCCAUGAAAAGGAGAACGUGU
ensembl:lncRNA novel transcript